UACGGAGGGUGCGAGCGUUGUUCGGAAUUACUGGGCGUAAAGCGCGCGCAGGCGGCCUUUUAAGUCUGCUGGUGAAAUGCCGGGGGCUCAACCCCCGUGCCCGCCACAGAUACUGGGAGGCUGGAGACGAGUAGAGGCAAGCGGAAUCCGGGUGUAGCGGUGGAAUGCGUAGAGAUCCGGAAGAACACCAGCGGCGAAGGCGGCGCUCUGGGGCCGGUACUGACACUGAGGAGCGAAAGCGUGGGUAGCAAACAGG
rnacentral:rRNA from 1 species